GACUAACGCUGGCGGCGUGCCUAAUACAUGCAAGUCGAACGCAGUUGGGACGGGUGAGUAACCCGUGGGUAACCUCCCAUCACAGGGGAUAACACUUGGAAACAGGUGCUAAACCGAUACUGAUGGAUGGACCCGCGGUGCAUUAGCUAGUUGGUGAGGUAACGGCUCACCAAGGCCACGAUGCAUAGGCGACCUCAGAGUGUGUGCGGCAACACGGGGACGGGGACCCGGCCCAGACUCCUACGGGAGGCAGCAGUAGGGAAUCUUAGGCAAUGGACGAAAGUCUGACCGAGCAAAGCGGGGUUAGUGAAGAAGGUUUUCGGAUCGUAAACCUCUGUAGUUAGGGAAGCGGUAUCUAACCAGAAAGCCACGGCUAACUACGUGACAGCAGCCGCGGUAAUUC
rnacentral:rRNA from 1 species